GGGGAAUUUUGGACAAUGGGCGCAAGCCUGAUCCAGCCAUUCCGCGUGCAGGACGAAGGCCUUCGGGUUGUAAACUGCUUUUGUACGGAACGAAAAGGCUCUGGCUAAUACCUGGGGCUCAUGACGGUACCGUAAGAAUAAGCAUCGGCUAACUUCGUGCCAGCAGCCGCGGUAAGACGAAGGAUGCAAGCGUUAUCCGGAUUCAUUGGGUUUAAAGGGUGCGUAGGCGGGCUUGUAAGUCAGUGGUGAAAUCUCUCAGCUUAACUGAGAAACUGCCAUUGAUACUGCAGGCCUAGAGUAUAGAUGACGUUGGCGGAAUAUGACAUGUAGUGGUGAAAUACUUAGAUAUGUCAUAGAACAACGAUUGCGAAGGCAGCUAACGAAACUAUAACUGACGCUGAGGCACGAAAGUGCGGGGAUCAAACA
rnacentral:rRNA from 1 species